UACAUGGGGUGCAAACGUUGCUCGGAAUUAUUGGGCGUAAAGCGCACGUAGGCGGUUCGUUAAGUCGGAUGUGAAAGCCCUCGGCUCAACUGAGGAAGUGCACCCGAAACUGGCGAGCUUGAGUACGAAAGAGGAUCGCGGAAUUCCGAUCGUGAGAGGUGAAAUUCGUAGAUAUCGGGAGGAACACCGGUGGCGAAGGCGGCGAUCUGGGUCGAUACUGACGCUGAGGUGCGAAAGCGUGGGGAGCAAACAGGG
rnacentral:rRNA from 1 species